AGAACGAACGCUGGCGGCAGGCUUAACACAUGCAAGUCGAACGCGUGUAGCAAUACACGAGUGGCGCACGGGUGAGUAACGCGUGGAUAUCUGCCUUUUGGUUCGGAAUAACCCCGGGAAACUGGGGCUAAUACCGGAUGGUUCCUACGGGAUAAAGAUUUAUCGCCAAAAGAUGAGUCCGCGUCCGAUUAGCUAGUUGGUGGGGUAAUGGCCUACCAAGGCGACGAUCGGUAGCUGGUCUGAGAGGACGAUCAGCCACACUGGGACUGAGACACGGCCCAGACUCCUACGGGAGGCAGCAGUGGGGAAUAUUGGACAAUGGGGGCAACCCUGAUCCAGCCAUGCCGCGUGAGUGAUGAAGGCCUUCGGGUUGUAAAGCUCUUUUGGCGGGGACGAUGAUGACGGUACCCGCAGAAUAAGCCCGGCUAACUUCGCGCCAGCAGCCGC
rnacentral:rRNA from 1 species